rnacentral:rRNA from 1 species
AUUGAACGCUGGCGGCAUGCCUAACACAUGCAAGUCGAACGAGUGGCGGACGGGUGAGUAAUGUCUGGGAAACUGCCCGAUGGAGGGGGAUAAAUACUGGAAACGGUAGCUAAUACCGCAUACCAUCGGAUUUGCCCAGAUGGGAUUUGCGAUGAGGGGGGGGAACGGCUCACCUAGGCGACGAUCCCUAGCUGGUCUGCGAGGAUGACCAGCCACACUGGAACUGAGACACGGUCCAGACUCCUACGGGAGGCAGCAGGGGGGAAUAUUGCACAAUGGUCGCAAUCCUGAUGCAGCCAUGCCGCGUGUAUGAAGAAGGCCUUCGGGUGGUAAAGUACUUUCAGCGAGGAGGCGUUACUCGCAGAAGAAGCACCGGCUAACUCCGUGCCAGCAGCCGCGGUAAUAC